rnacentral:lncRNA from 1 species
UGCUAGGCAAGCACUCUUCCAACUGAGCUAUAUCCCCAGCCCCAGGAAGAAUUAAAAUUUAAAAAAAAAAAUGUUGAUGAACCUUUAUUUUAUUCAUUUAUUUAUAUGCGGUGCAGAGAAUUGAACCCAGUGCCUCACACGUGGUAGGGAAGUGCUCUACCACUGAACCACACAGCCCAGCCCGGAAUUGUUUUUUAAAUAUAUAUUUUUUAAAAUUGUAGAUGGACCCAAUGCCUUAUGUCAUUUAUUUUUAUGUGGUGCUGAAGAUUGAACCCAGUGCCUCUCAUAUGCUAGGCAAGUGCUUCACCACUGAGCUACAGCCGCAACCCAAUAAUUUUUUUUUUUUUUUUUUAAAGAGGAACUCCUCUGCUGUGUGACUCUGUGCAUUUGGCAUGAAAUGGGUAGAUUUGGGUUAUUCCUUCAGAACUUCUCCCACCACUAUUGGGUAGACUGACUCCUUAGGACCUUAGCCUCGUGUUGUGGAGUUAUGACUGGCUUCUAGCUGGGCAGAGGAAAAACAGGGAAGAGCUUCUGCCUGUGGGGGAGGACGAGGAUGGUGGUGUGGCUUUCCACCUGGGGAUUCUGGGCCUCCUUCCACUUCAGUGUUUCAGACCUUGCCUCAUUCCUGUUGGUGAG